AGCGAACGCUGGCGGCAGGCCUAACACAUGCAAGUCGAACGAAGUCUUCGGACUUAGUGGCGGACGGGUGAGUAACACGUGGGAACGUGCCUUUAGGUUCGGAAUAACUCAGGGAAACUUGUGCUAAUACCGAAUGUGCCCUUCGGGGGAAAGAUUUAUCGCCUUUAGAGCGGCCCGCGUCUGAUUAGCUAGUUGGUGAGGUAAAGGCUCACCAAGGCGACGAUCAGUAGCUGGUCUGAGAGGAUGAUCAGCCACAUUGGGACUGAGACACGGCCCAAACUCCUACGGGAGGCAGCAGUGGGGAAUCUUGCGCAAUGGGCGAAAGCCUGACGCAGCCAUGCCGCGUGAAUGAUGAAGGUCUUAGGAUUGUAAAAUUCUUUCACCGGGGACGAUAAUGACGGUACCCGGAGAAGAAGCCCCGGUUAGCUUCGUGCCAGCCGCCGCGGUAACAC
rnacentral:rRNA from 1 species